UGGCAGGUUAUGAGCAUGUCAGAACCAAGAGUCUGAUACAGAGAGAAAAACGCCAAGGCCUAAACCCAGGGGACCCCUGUUAAGAAUUCCCAAGGUCUCGAAACUACAUCCCCCCAUGAAUCUGGAAGGAGCGAGGUAGGAAGUAAACCAGCUGAGCGCUGUUGUGAAGAUUUCCAAGGUAGUCAGGGAAGACAGUAAGAGGUGAUGGUCAAACUGCCAUCUGAGACAUCCGAGCCUGCUGCUUUCUGAUACCUGCGUCAGUCAACUCUUCUGACUGGUGUUGUCUCUGCCCUUAUGAACUGUUAAACUAUCAAGUAUACUUUUUAAUACAUUUAAUGCUCCUAAGAGGCUGCACUUCAUGUAAGUGUUUUGGAGGCAUUCUGGAUGAAGGAGGCUGGGGAAUGGCAGCGGGAUUGAUUUGUGUAGCCGUGGUGGUUUUGAUACAUAAGGAUGAUUUAAACAAAGGUCUGUCCCUUUGGUACACAAGCCCACAUCAACAUAGCAGAGGCUCUCCAUGACUGUUGAAAUUGAUUUCUGUUUCCUGCCAAGAUUUCUGAAUUAGAGAGAUGACUGCCAGUAUGAGUCAGGAGGCAGCAAGGCCUGUUGGUCUAUCCCUACCACACACCACACUCCCUCAAGUAAAAAUCUCCCACGCUUACAAGAAGGAACUCAAUUUACAGCCUAUUGUUCUGCAUCAUCGGUUUUUAUGAACGGAAAAACAUACAGUUCUGUGCUGGUAUUGUGAGAGCAGCACUUUAAGCUAUGGAAAAAUAAACUGUGGGGGGAAGGAAAGAAGGGAAGGUAUUUUGUAAGUCAGUUAAGGGGUGUUUAUCGAGGAAAUAAUGAAAAAAAACCUAUGCAGAGUGGUAAAUAUUUUGACUGACUUUUUUUUCUCUUUCUGUAUAGUGUCGACUAUAGGCCUGCCUGUCAAUUGUGUUACCGGCUACUUUACAGUCAGAGGCGACACUGCCCAUGUAAGCCCACCUGCUGCAACACCAAAUAGACCUGCUUGGAGCCCUCAGUGAAAACUAGUUUAAACAGCUAAUGCAGUAUAAAUUGAAUCUGAAAGAUAAUGGAUGACCAGAGGGAAACGCACUCAGGAGAGAUUCAAUUCUCACCGAAGAAGAAUAGAUUUUCCCACUUUUUCCAAUACGGUUGAUCAGAAAAAUAGACUGCUUCUAUUUUCCCAUCAUUCCCAUCCAGAAUUUUGAUUUGUGACAAAUAUGUCUGUUCAGUUAAGUGUAAAAUAUUGCACUUAAGCUGCAGAAUGAAUGUAGCUGCCAGAGGUAGGCAGGUCAUUAGAUGAAAGUGACGUUAUGAGCGAUAAUAUGCAGAUAAGCACUUCCUAAACAGGCAGACAGCAAGCCGUCAAUCUUUGGGUCCUCACAAUCCUACACCGGUUCAAGUGUUGUAAGUGGAAAGUUUGCUUGCGGAUUUGAUAAAUGGUUUGUGCCGGUCCCUUGUGUUAGGACUAUGCAAGUUGUGUUGCCUCUCCGGAAGUGUAUGUAUGUAAGCUGGAGAAGCCACAGUUGGAGACGACAUGGCCAUCGUUGGUUGGCCUUACUGCAUACAGCCAUUGAGAGCUAUCCGGUUUAUUUUGAGUAAGCGGCUGGUGCAUGGACUGACCACUGUUCCUUUCUUUCGUUUGGUUACAUGUUGCAAAUUAGCUAGCCAGUUACCAUGAGUGAGCGUGCUUCCGCUCAUAGUAUAUCGCCUUAUUUUGAUAAGUAGUGCGCAGAGCUGGUUAGCUAGCUUAAGCAUUUCUUUUUGUUUUUUUGUUUGUUUGUUUUCAUGUCAAACCAUUCUCCCCACUCUAGCUUGAUCAGCUAACCCAGCUUUGCUUGACUCUUCUUUGUGCUUUGCCUGCUAUUAAUUUGAGGGGCUUGCCUAUCUGCAUGCUUUUGGUUUGCUUUAUGCUCCGUCUGGAUUGCUGUGCUUAACUAAUGCGUUUGGCUUGGCUUUAACUAUUUUUAUUUUCUUUUACUUUGCUCUGUGGAGUGUGCAGUGUGAUUUUUGAUGCCAAUUGCAGUGUGCCUUGUUGAAGUGUGUGAUAUAUACAGAUAUAUAUUCCCUUCUUUAAGCCUGCAGUAAACAAGAGUAAAGCACAAGCCUGCUGGGUAGUCUGUUUCCAGUACUUGGUGGAAAUUUUAAAUGUUGUGUAUGUUAUUGCUCACAAAACAUUUUAAUGAAUUGGGAAAAAUAAAGAAAGCUAACAUUUUGCUAUUUUUCCUUCCACAGCGUUACAUGAAAUUGAUAUCAA